ensembl:lncRNA
GGUGCCUACAACUUCAGAGAGUACAACAGCAGAAACCACGACUACAGCUUCAUCAACAAUUUCUACAACAACAAACAAUCCAACAUCAAAAGCUGUAACUUCAGCAUCCACAGCUCUCACUUCAACAACAGUGCCUGCAUCUUCAGAAACAACUGCACCUGUAACAACUUCAGUAACUACAGCAUCCUCAACUACUGAAAUUCCUACAACCACAGUUGUGAGUACAGAAACCACACCUAUUACUUCAACAGUGGUGCAUUCAACUUCAGAAAGUACAACACUAGAAACCACGACUACAGCUUCAUCAUCCACACCUGCAACAACAAACAAUCCAACAACAUCAACAGUUGUACCUUCAGAAUCCACAACUCUCACUUCAACAACAUUGCCUACAUCUUCAGAAACAACUGCACCUGUAAAAACAUCAGUAACUACAGCAUCCUCAACUUCUGAAAUUCCCACAAGCACAGUUGUGAGUAAAGAAACCACACCUAUUACUUCAACAGUGGUGCCUACAACUUCAGAGAGUACAACAGCAGAAACCACGACUACAGCUUCAUCAUCCACACCUGCAACAACAAACAAUCCAACAACAUCAACAGUUAUACCUUCAGAAUCCUCAACUCUCACUUCAACAACAUUGCCUACAUCUUCAGAAACAACUGCACCUGUAACAACUUCAGUAACUAAAGCAUCCUCAACUAUCAAAAUUUCCACAACCACAGCUGUGAGUACAGAAACCACACCUAUUACUUCAACAGUGUUGCCCACAACUUUGAAGAGUACAACAGCUGAAACCAUGACUACAGCUUCAUCAACCACACCUACAAAAACGAACAAUCCAACAACAUCAACAUUUGUAACUUCUGAAUCUACAACUCCUACUUCAACAGUUAUAGCUACAUCUUCAGAAACAACUACACCUCUAACAAAAUCAGUAACUACAGCAUCCUCAACUACUGAAAUUCCCACAACCACAGUUGUGAGUACUGAAUCCAUAACUCUUACUUCAACAGCUAAGCCUACAUCUUCAGAAUCUACUGCAACUGUAACAUCAGUAACUACAGUAUCCUCAAAAACCUAUAUUCCCACAACCACGGUUGUGAGAACAGAAACCACACCUAUCAUUUCGACAGUGGUGCCUACAACUUCAGAGAGUACAACGGCAGAAGCUAUGACUACGGCUUCAUCAACUAUAUUUACAGCAAAGAACACUCCAACAACAUCAACAGCUGUAACUUCAGAAUCCUCAACUCUCACUUCAACAACAGUGCCUACAUCUUCAGAAACAACUGCACCUGUAACAACAUCAGUAACUACAGCUUCCUCACCUACAACUGUACCUUCCUCUAUGACAUCAGCUCCAAUGUCAUCUGAAGCUCCAAGUACAACAACAUCUAAAACCACAUUGCUGCUUGCAACCACAUCUACUGGAGCUCUCACAUCCACUGUUGUGACUUCAGGAGCAACAACUCUUACGUCUACAACAAUGCCUACAACAUCAGAAAGUACAACUACACCUGCAGCAAGCACAACUGCAGCUUCCACAGCCACAGUGGGGCCAUCCACUACUGUGACUACAGCUUCCGAAAUUACAACUGCAUCUUCAACAUCUACAGCUUCCUCAGCUGCGAUAGUGCAUUCUACUACUACAUCAUCAUCUCCAACCUCAUCUGAAUCUCGAGGUACAGCAACUAAUUAUCCAACAACAUCAACAGCUGUAAUUUCAACAACAAUGGCUACAUCUUCAGAAACAUCUGCACCUGUAACAACAUCAGUAACUACAGCUUCCUCAUCUAUAAAUGUACCUUCCUCUAUGACAUCAGCUCCAAUGUCAUCUGAAGCUCCAAGUGCAACAACAGCUCAAACCACAAUGCCACUUGCACCUGCAACUACUGAAACACUCACAAUCACCAAAAUGACUUCAGAAACCACAACUGCACCAACAACAUCGAUAACUACAACGUCCACAACUACCACUGUAGCUUCAACGACAACAGCAGCUUCUCUUGCAACAACCACAACUACAGCUUCCAUCACCACAACCAUUCCUUCCACUUCUACAUCAGAUCAAACCACACCUAAGGCUGCAAGUACAACAUCAAAAGGUCCGAACACAAAUUCAGAAAGUAUAACUUCACCUGCUGUAACCACAGAUUCCACAACCAUGAUGGAAUAUUCAACUACUACAUCAAGUUUAACCCCAGCCACAACUACUGAAACCUCAACUCUUACUUCACCAACAAUGUCUACAACUUCAGAAAGUACUCCUGCACCUGCAACAUCCACCAUUACAGCUUCCUCUUCUACGAAUAACUAUCCCACAACAGAAAAUCCAUCUCAAACCUCAACUUCAAUUCCAGGCACAAACACACCUACAGCGGCAACAACAACUGCAUUCCGAAUAACAACUGCACCUCUAUCAACCACAACUAUUGCUUUCACUAAUACAGCUCCAGCUCUAAGCCAAGCAGGACUCCUUACCACAACAAAUGCACCUCCAAUUAUCACAACUGUGUCUCCGGAGACUGUAACUAUUGCUGUAACAAUUAUGCCUAUCUCAUCAUCACAUGUAACUAUAUCCCCAACUUUAACUCCAAUAAAAACAACUGAACCUCCAAGAACCCCAACUACACCCAUUACAACCAUGACUGUUCUUCCCACCACUACAGUUCCAGCUGAUAUCUCAACUACAGCUCCAACCACAACAACAGCCACUAUUCCAAGUUCAACUGCAGCUCAAACAACAACUGCAUUUCAAGUAACAACAGGAGAUCUUUUAAGAACAACUGUAGCUUUUACCAACACAUCUUCUGCUCCAGCCACACUUGCACUUUCAACCAAAACAACUCCAAUCCCAAACAUGGAUUCAGAAACUACAACUGCAUCAACAACUACAACUGGAAUUAAUACAGGUCUCACCAGUGCAGCAGAAUUUCCAAUAGCUCCAAUAACAUCAGUUUCAAACACAAAUGCAUCAACAUCCCCAGCAUCUACAAUUCCAAGUCAAUCAUCAAUCAAAACAACACCAGCUGAAACUCUUUCUAGCAAUACUACACCUCUAAACAAUGCAACAAAAGCAGAUGCAUCUGCAACACUUCAAAGUACUUCAAGUUUGCAACCAGAAACUUCAAACAUACCCAAAACAUUGUCAACAAAUGUGACUGGUGCAGCAACAGUCACAACCAUAUUGGUAUUCUCAUCCUUGUCGUCAGUGCCCAAUGAAAAUUUGGUCCUAGGUGCUAUCAGUACUCUUCUGGAAUCUAGACAGUCCCAACUCAAUGGAUCACUGAAGAUUGUAAAAUUUACUUAUCAGAAAAUCUCAGAAACCUCCUAUGCUGUGGUCUUUACAUUUAACGUGAUUAACAUCAGCAUGCCAGAGGACCCUGUGUCUAGAGGCAACACCAACCAGAAAGUGCAGGAUACCAUCAAUAAUGCGCUGAACACUCUUCUGAAUGAACCUGGAAGUCCAACUUUACAACCAAAGUCCUCCAACUUCACAAGCACUUCAAACCAGAUUGAUGGCAGGAUGGAAUACAGCUUCCAGGAUGGAGAUGUCAUACAACCAGUCAGCUUCCUCAAUGAGCUACGUCUACCAACCACUACAACAGUGUUUCCAGAAACAACAACCAGUGUUUCUGUUACUACUCCAAACCUCAUAUCUGGUUCAGCAGUGGUCACAAGCAAGCUGGUGUUCAACUCCUCAUCUCCAGUCCCCAGUGAAUCUCUGGUCCUCAAUUCAAUCAAAACUCUGCGUAAUUCCAGAGAGUCACAGCUCAAUGAAUCGGUGAAGGUGGUGAAUGUCACCUAUGAGAAAAUCUCAGAAACCUCCUAUGCUGUGGUCUUUACAUUUAACGUGAUUAACAUCAGCAUGCCAGAGGACCCUGUGUCUAGAGGCAACACCAACCAGAAAGUGCAGGAUACCAUCAAUAAUGCGCUAAACACUCUUCUGAAUGAACCUGGAAGUCCAACUUUACAACCAAAGUCCUCCAACUUCACAAGCACUUCAAACCAGAUUGAUGGCAGGAUGGAAUACAGCUUCCAGGAUGGAGAUGUCAUACAACCAGUCAGCUUCCUCAAUGAGCUACGUCUACCAACCACUACAACAGUGUUUCCAGAAACAACAACCAGUGUUUCUGUUACUACUCCAAACCUCAUAUCUGGUUCAGCAGUGGUCACAAGCAAGCUGGUGUUCAACUCCUCAUCUCCAGUCCCCAGUGAAUCUCUAGUCCUCAAUGCAAUCAAAACUCUGCGUAAUUUCAGAGAGUCACAGCUCAAUGAAUUGGUGAAGGUGGUGAAUGUCACCUAUGAGAAAAUCUCAGAAACCUCCUAUGCUGUGGUCUUUACAUUUAACGUGAUUAACAUCAGCAUGCCAGAGGACCCUGUGUCUAGAGGCAACACCAACCAGAAAGUGCAGGAUACCAUCAAUAAUGCGCUGAACACUCUUCUGAAUGAACCUGGAAGUCCAAAUUUACAACCCAAGUCAUCAAACUUCACAAGCACUUCAAACCAGAUUGAUGGCAGGAUGGAAUACAGCUUCCAGGAUGGAGAUGUCAUACAACCAGUCAGCUUCCUCAAUGAGCUACGUCUACCAACCACUACAACAGUGUUUCCAGAAACAACAACCAGUGUUUCUGUUACUACUUCAAACCUCAUAUCUGGUUCAGCAGUGGUCACAAGCAAGCUGGUGUUUCAACUCCUCAUCUCCAGUCCCCAGUGAAUCUCUGGUCCUCAAUGCAAUCAAAACUCUGCGUAAUUCCAGAGAGUCACAGCUCAAUGAAUCGGUGAAGGUGGUGAAUGUCACCUAUGAGAAAAUGUCAGAAACCUCCUAUGCUGUGGUCUUUACAUUUAACGUAAUUAACAUCAGCAUGCCAAAGGAACCUGUGUCUAGAGGCAACACCAACCAGAAAGUGCAGGAUACCAUCAAUAAAGCGCUGAAUACUCUUCUGAAUGAACCUGGAAGUCCAACUUUUCAACCAAAGUCAUCAAACUUCACAAGCACUUCAAACCAGAUUGAUGGCAGAAUGGAAUACACCUUCCAGGAUGGAGAUGUCAUACAACCAGUCAGCUUCCUCAAUGAGCUUCGUUCACAGACAGUCUUAACGACAGCCAGCACUCUGACAACUACUCCACUGAUAGUGCGUGGCAAAGCGCUUAUAUUCAUUCGCCUCGUGUUUGUCACACUGGGCCCCCUGCCAAAUCCAGAGAAGGUUCUUGAGGUGGCCAACACUCUGCUUCAGACGCGUCUCAAAACUAAACAAGACACCAGUACUCAAGACCUGAGUGAUCCUGUGAGCUUUGUCAAUGUCACAUAUACAAAAAUAAAUGAGACGGCCUAUGCUCUCAACUUUGGAUUUGAAAUCAGCAAUAUAACCAUGACAGAGAAGCUUGAACUCAGGAAUGGCACCCACCUGUUAAUACAAGACUCUAUAAACUCAUUGCUGGGCAAGAUCCUUCUCAGUAACUCAUCAGCGCCUAUCAUUAAGUUCCAACCAGCUGAUUUCACGGGUAAUUCCACAGUAAUUAAGGCCAAUGUAGAGUAUGUUUUCUCACCAAGUGACAUCACGCAACCCAGCAUCUUUGUUCAGGAACUUCUCCAACUUAAUGAAGCGAGCACUCUGACAAGCACAACUUCACCACCGAUCUUGACUAGGAGGGCAAUUAUUAAGAUUCGUCUGGAGUUUAUCACACUGGGCCCAAGACCAAGUGAGAGUAAUGUUCUACAGGUGGUUAAAUCUAUGCUGGCCACAAAUCUCACAACUAAACUAACCACGAGAGUAACAAGCGUGAGCGAACCUGUGACCUUGAAUAAUGUUGUGUAUAUCGGAAUUAAUGACACCGCCUACGCACUGAUUUUUGCAUUCGAAAUGAACAAAGUAUUACUGACAGAGAUACAAAGGCAAGAAGCCUACAAAGAAAUCCAAAACAAGAUAAAUGAUUUGGUGAAGCAGAUACUAAAGGACCCCUCGGUUAAUCUGCUCAUUCCAGCCGAUUUCAAGGAUGAUCUCCUUGUGAUCGAGGCCAAUGUUACGUAUGUUUUCUCAGAACGUAACAGUAACACGGGCUCCGGUUUCUUGGUCAGUGCCCUUUUCAAGGCUUUUACCACACCAGCUCCAACCACCAUGAACACUACAAUCUCAAACAACAGUACUAAUGCAGCAUGGAUUGUGGCUAUCAUUGUCCCCUGUGCUAUUGUCAUCGGGCUCGUACCUUGCUGGAUUCUCCUUUGCUGUUUGCUGUGUGGUUGCUGUGCAGCAAUCAGAAGACGCUGGCACAGAAGACAGUCGUACAAUGUGCAGUACACCACUCGAAACAGUCUCUUCUAAAGAGUUCUGAGAUAUUUGACAAAAGCAGGACUGAAAACCAAUGAGAACAUAAAAAUCAUGGAUUUUGGAUAUUCAAUAUGCUAUCAAUACUGCUUCUUUUGUAGUAUUGAAAGUACUAUGUUAAUGCUUCUUUAUAAACUAUUUAUUUUAUUAUCCUAGACAAACAGGUCCUCCAUAAAAUAUUCCUUAAUGUGACAUUUUAAUACGUCCUAUAGUCUAUAAUGAAAUUGUAUUAUUGUUAUUUAUUUGUAUUUAUUUGUAAUAUUCUGUUUAUGUUUACAGUUAAUCUUUUGCAAAUCAUUAAUCUGCUUGACAUUACACAUUUUAAUUUAAAGGGACAAAAGGUAGAACAUUAGCUAUUAUUUAUUCAUACUCCAUGCACUUUAACUUUAUAAAUGUAAAGGAAGCUUGUGAUGUAAAGGAAAUGCAAAAAAAGCUCAUUUACGUAAGUCAUUGGCAUGAACAUGUUAAACUGAAAAAUAAAUAAGAAUAAAAACUGUAAUUAGACAAUACUAG